rnacentral:lncRNA from 1 species
GCGACUGAACCUCUACAGGAGAUGAAAUGAAUGAUCAUCAAAGUACCCUCUCCUACAUCCUGAUUAACCCAUCUCCAGAUACCAGAAUAGAGCUGAAUGAUGUUGUAUACUUAAUUCGACCAGAUCCACUGGCCUACCUUCCAAACAGUGAGCCCAGUCGAAGAAACAGCAUCUGCAAUGUCACUGGUCAAGAUUCUCGGGAGGAAACUCAACUUUGAUAAAAAUAAAAUGAGAAACUUUUUUCCUACAAAGACCUUGCUUGAAACCACAAAAGUUUUGCUGGCACGAAAGAAACUAGAUGGAAAUAUAUUUAAUUCUCUCAUAUUUAAAAACGUAAUCUCUUCUCUUAGAAGUAUAGAUCAUUUUGAAACUUAAUGUACUACUUACCGGUACUCUCCCUAUUAAUAUUUGAAGGACAUCAAUGGAAUAAAUUUGAAAAGCUAAAUUAAAAUACAAAAAUUUAAAUCUGACAUUUAAUUGUUUUAUAAUAAUCCAAACUCUAUGAAAGCAAUUUUAAAAAUUAUUAAGGUUUUAUGAAGUUGACAAAAUCUAACUAUAUUUGGUGCAUCACAAUGGACACAGAAUGCUGCUGCUCCUCUUAAAAAUUAAAUGUGUCAUAUUAUAUUCUUUAAACUUACUGUUUUACAAAAUUGAGCUCAUCGUAAAUGUCUAGUCUUCUCACAUAGAGAUUAACCAACAAACUUGUGUGGUUGACUUUUGUGUAAGAAUCAUAGUUUGCUUUAGAAUACAAAUCUUUAAGUCAUUUUAACUUUUUUUUCUGCCUUACGAUAUAAAAAUAUUUAUCUUAGAAUUUGAGAUGUUCAUAGCAUGUUUUAUUACACUGAAGAAACUAAAACAUAAAUGAAAAGAAACACUAGGUUCCUGCACUUUUUGGUAACUUUAUGUCUAGCAAAUAUUUUAUGCCAAGAAAAGCAUACUAUAAAGCAAAUAUCUAUUAUUCUCCUAAACGAAUGCCUAGCAUAGAGAAAAUACUUAAUACACAUUUGUUGACUUAAAUUUAAUUCAAGGAUUGAAAAAUUAACUGGAUAUCUUGAAAUAUACAGUAAUGAUUGUCCUUAGACUCUUGAGCUUUACCAUUUUUCCUAUUCAUAUAUCUAUAUAGUAAAUUUCAUUAGAAAAAUUCUUUUAAAAUUGACAGAAGAUAAUUUAUACCUUUUAUGGACUCUGAAGACACUUCAAAACAUUAAAAGUCCUUAUGUCUUUGGUAAUGAAACAAUAACACUCAAUGAAGGGUGUAUUAAAAUUUUUGACUUAAUUUUGAAAUCGUAUAUAUGAACUAUACUUUAACAUUAUGAGAGAAAAGCAUAAAACAAAAACAGGUAGUUCUUGGCUUUUAACAUUAAUGCAAAUCAUGCAGAAUUUGAGUUAUAAAUUUAAAUAUAAAUUGACCAUUGAUGAUAUCCAGUUUUUCAUUUUUUACCUGUAUUGCAUUUUCCCCCUAGAGAAAUAGAUCAAAAGAGCACAAGAGUAUGCGUACAUAGUUUACCAGGUAGUAGAAGUGUGUUAAAAUGUUCCCAUAAAAGAAACAUUGGUAAAUUCAAAUACAUACUGGUCUAAUUUUGUACUUUUUAAUUUUUGAAUUUGAUAUUGAGUUUAAUUCAGCAACAACAAAAAAUACAUAUAAAACUAGAAAGGGACUUUUUUUCCUUUUCAUAAUGAAGCAGAUCAACUUAAAGGAUAAUAAAAUUUUUAAAGAAAAGAUAUUCUAAUGUACUCUCAAUAAUUCUACAGAAAUAAAACUGUAAAGUGCAAUGUGAAAUCAAAGAUUAUAGUCAUUGUAUAAUUUGGCUUGGAGACUUUGAAAUGUCUUUUUUUCUUUUUGAUAUUUUACAUUAUUCACAUUUUAGAAUAACAAGAACACCAAGAAUUACCCCUAAAACAGAGACCCUGUAUUUAAUCUACUUUGAUCAGAGAAGUAGAAUUUAUAACAGGUUACCUAAAAUUGGGAGCAUGCCUUAAAACUUAAAGAUUGUAUGCAUAUAUGUGUAUAUGUUAUAAACAUGUGAAAUAUAUUUGACACACACAUUCACAUAUAAAUUGUUAAAAACUGAAGGCAGAAUGGAACUAAUAUAUGUAACAGAGAAAAACAAUAAAUUUAAUGAACUUGUUUUAUAUUUGCAUAUCAAGAGUCAAGUAUGAUGUUUAUUUAAGUUGACUUUUUUUACUUCAUUAUUUUUAGGAAUAAAUGUAAGAUUUUACAAAUCUUUUAUUUCCCCACAAGAUCUGAAGUUUGGUAUUUUUGCAUUAUGACAGUUGUUGAGACUAGGAUUUUAAGCUAGGAUAUGAUUAUAUUUCCUAUAUAACUAAAAAUUUUGUUUCAUAAAUUUUAAAAUAAUUAUUUUUGACUAUGAACAUUAGUCCAAAUUUAAUAUUUGACACAGUUCAUACCAGCUUGCUACAAUAAUGAUAAUUUAUUAGUCUUUCUGUUAUUUAAAGAAUAAAAACAUGCUUAUAAAAGACUUUUAAUGAACUGUUGCCUUUUUAAAAUAAUUAUACUUGCACAUGAAAAUAAAAUAUAAAGUCAAUAAUAGUCCUUGUAGCCCAAUGGGAAUUGAUUCUGUUUAUUGUCUGUACCAUUUUGCUACCA